GGGCUCGUAGCUCAGUGGCAGAGCGGCCGGCUCAUAACCGGUUGGUCGCAGGUUCGAAUCCUGCCGAGCCCACCA
rnacentral:tRNA from 1 species